rnacentral:SRP_RNA from 1 species
GGGAGAUCGGCGCUGGACGGAUACCUCGCUAACCCGGUCAGGUCCGGAAGGAAGCAGCCAUAGUGAGUUCGUCCGGGUCAGUGUCCGGUCUUCCACC